AUACGUAGGUGGCAAGCGUUGUCCGGAAUUAUUGGGCGUAAAGCGCGCGCAGGCGGUCUUUUAAGUCUGAUGUGAAAGCCCCCGGCUCAACCGGGGAGGGUCAUUGGAAACUGGGAGACUUGAGUACAGAAGAGAAGAGUGGAAUUCCACGUGUAGCGGUGAAAUGCGUAGAGGUGUGGAGGAACACCAGUGGCGAAGGCGACUCUUUGGUCUGUAACUGACGCUGAGGCGCGAAAGCGUGGGGAGCGAACAGGAUUAGAUACCCUGGUAGUCCACGCCGUAAACGAUGAGUGCUAAGUGUUAGAGGGUUUCCGCCCUUUAGUGCUGCAGCAAACGCAUUAAGCACUCCGCCUGGGGAGUACGGCCGCAAGGCUGAA
rnacentral:rRNA from 1 species